rnacentral:rRNA from 1 species
AUACAGAGGGUGCGAGCGUUGUCCGGAAUCACUGGGCGUAAAGGGCGCGUAGGUGGCUUGGUAAGCGUGUGGUGAAAGUCCGGGGCUCAACCCCGGAUCUGCCGUGCGAACUGCUGAGCUUGAGCACUGUAGAGGCAGGUGGAAUUUCGGGUGUAGCGGUGGAAUGCGUAGAUAUCCGAAAGAACACCAGUGGCGAAGGCGGCCUGCUGGGCAGUAGCUGACACUGAGGCGCGACAGCGUGGGGAGCAAACAGGAUUAGAUACCCUGGUAGUCCACGCCGUAAACGAUGGGUACUAGGUGUCUGGGGGAGCGACCCCCUGGGUGCCGGCGCUAACGCAUGAAGUACCCCGCCUGGGGAGUACGGCCGCAAGGCUGAA